ensembl:lncRNA
AUAAACUCUGCCACUUCCUCUUCACGUUUAAUUGCCUACAUACUCAAACAGAUGACACAUCUACCGACACCGAUGGCUGUGGGAAGAGGGAGACUUUCCAUUAAGGAUUCUUUGAGGAAAUGACUGGCUGAGUCGCAUUUCCGUGGUAAAGUGAAGAGCUUGCUGGGAAUGAUUAUUCUCGCUGACUAUAAUGAAACAAGCGGCGCUGGACGUGUAUUCAGUAUUACUUGCAGACAGAUGUGUUGAAGACCGUUCAUUAGAAGAAACUAUGAUACUCAUCCACUGAUGUUCAACUUCAUGAUCAAAACAAACGCACGUCGGACUGCGUCAACCCGACAAGGAUGGUCUGCGAUUUCUUGGAACUGCAAGGAUAUGAACUGACACAGGGGCUGGACUGACUUUUGUGCUGUGCUCUGUGAAACACAACUUAAAAACCAUACUCAAACUCUCAUACACACAUGCACAGUGAUACGCGUGGUGUUACAAGGGCGGAAAACAACGUGCCUACUAAUGAUGGCGUAGCCAGAAGAAACAACAUGUCCUUCCAGCACAGAUGGCAAGUUUCAUUGGGGAUCUUGCUUGUGAUGGCAGGCCUGGUGCUCUUUAUGACUAUGGAUAUGUACAUUGUUCUCAUUGGCAUGGCUAUAGUGUGUCUGGGUCUGUUUAUUCUCAUCCGUGCCUUCUGCACGGUGAUUAAAUCCAGUCAUGUAGCUGUGACGGGACACUUUCUUCUACACCCGCGAACAGGCACCCAAUAUACCCACCAUCAAGCCAUUGCGGUGCAAAGGAGGCUGGAUCGGAUCCGGAGGGCUACGGCAGAGCAGCACAGUUCAGUCCAAGUGCCUCCCACCUCAGACACCAGUCCACAGAGCCAACCUGCAACCCCUCCCCCCUGGCAAAUGGAGCCGCCACCAUCCUAUGAGACUGUUAUGAAGACCACUACAGCUAUGCCAGCAUUCCUGGAAAUGAAAAUAGUAAGAUUGCUCAAGCCAAUGCAACCUUUACCUGGGGGAAGGUCACCUUACUAAGGCCCAUUACAGGUUCAAUGGUCCAAAUCUCGGUUCUCCACUGACCCUGCGUCCUGUCACUCACUCCAGCCUCCACCUCUAUGGGGACACAUUCAUAAAGCUCCACCCUCUCACCGGUACUUUCCUCUGUUAACUAAACAUACCACCACUGGACUUCUAAGUUUCCUCCAUGGCAGAGAACAAGCCAUACCGUUAUGGGCUCAUCAUUCUGGGGAUGGCGUUUGUGGCGUUGGGUCUGUUCAUGAUUUCUGUAGAGAAGCCACAGGUGUUCGCCACGUUCUGCACUGCGGGAGUGAUAAUGGUGGUUAUGGGGACCGUCUGGUCGGUGUGUCAGUGUUACCCCAGGGUGACUGUCAUACUGCCAGAUAAAGAAAAGCUCUAUGGGGCUGGGAAACAGGACUUGAGUGCUGGAAGCUCAGAUGAAAAAAGUCCAACGAAACCAAUAGCAGCUCCUUUGGCUGGCUUCUGUGAUGAUGAAGUAGAAGAAACAUCGACAGAUCCAAAACUCCACACAGAGAACAAACACAGGGAGCGUGUCAUAGUACUCCAGACAUGUCGAAGUUCUCCCAGUGUUCUGGCCUGCUCCAGCACUCCUCUGACAGACAGAAGAACUCCACGAACAGACCCCAACAGAGAGAUGUACUAUGGGAAAGUGGAAGACUCAUGUUACUACACAUCUGAGUUGGAGAGUGAAUAGUUCCUGUUGAUCCUAAUGUCCAAAUCAUCAUCUACAUAUGACUUAAAACAAGAUUUGCCAGACACCUAUGUAGUAAUACUGUUUUUUUUAAUAACUUGUACAAUAACAAAACAUUUAUGCAUGUAAUUUGUCAUCACAUUUUACAUUAGGCUGUUAAUUAUGUUGAUGUCACAAGGUCUGGCCAUGAUUGUAUCAAAAGCAUAUGAUAAUAGAAUCUCUCUCAGGGAAAUAAGGCUGGAAAAAGUUUAGGUGAAGAAAUACUCGUGACCAUGACUCAUGUCACCACGAAGACCAAAGGACACUGAAAGAGGAACUGCCUGGUGUGAAGUUUUUAUUUUUUAUCUAUGAUGCUCCUUCAAAAGAGAUCCUUUACAUUUGAGACAGCACAAUAAUUAUAAUUCAUUUAUGUUUUAGAUUAUUUAAAUGUAGUGCAAUGUGUAAAACUGAUAAUUGUUGAGACAGUUCUAAAUAUUUUUAGUCAUGUAAAAAAUGGAUUUUGCAAUACUGAACAGGGAAUCAUCUCGGCCACAAAAUAUAAGUACUCACACACGAUAGUUUUUUUUCUGUCAUGGUGGGGACUUUCCAUUUAUGAGGUUCCAUUUGUGCCAAAAAGGAGUCAACUGCUUUGUGCUAUACAUUUCUCCAUGUCUUCGGUCAGUGCCUAUGUGUUGAGAUAAACAAAGAACAUACUUAUCAACAUUCAUAAAUUUAUGUCCUCUUGUUCUGUCAUCCACCUUGCCAAACAUGUUCUGUCCUUCAUAGAAGGCUAUUUCCAAAUAUGGUGUUCCAAUUGUGCCAAAAAGUGUAGACUACUUUGUACGAUACAUUUGUUUGUGACCAUUGUUAUUGCUGUUGUUUCAUUUGUGUUAUCUGUUCAUGUCGUCCUCCCUGUCAUGUGUUCAGAUCUGUUUUAUGCUAUAAGUUACUGCUCUCAGUGAACAUCUAGCAUUGUAUUUUAGAGUUAUCCAGGUAAACAAACAGAAUUAGACACCCCCUUUAUACUGAGCUAAUGGUAUUUUCUAUCCUCUAACCCUAACCAUGAACCUCACAAACAUUUCUGCAUUACACAUUAUGCAGGUGCUGGUCAUAUAAUUAGAAUAUCAUCAAAAAGUUGAUUUAUUUCACUAAUUCCAUUCAACAAGUGAAACUUGUAUAUUAU